UUCUGAUGUGUUGACGACAGGUAUUAAUCUAGUCCCAAUAUUUAUUUCUAUUUAUUGUCUAACCAUACCCACUGCUCUUUGUUAGAUAACUCAUUAUACUGCUAGAAAAGAUUAAAUAGUUACAUGACAUUUUUGAUUAGUUGUCAAAAGAAGAAUAUAAACUUUUAAAUUUCGAAAGUGUUCACACGAAUUAAGACAUAAUAAGGAAUGUACCAAUAAGCAAGUAAUUCUAGGGAAAAAAAAAAUCUAGACUUGACAUGGGUAUGUUGAGGUUUAAACCAGUGUGUGCGGAGGAAGUGUGGUGGAUGGAAUUAUUUGACAUUGGUCAGACAAGACGGCUUUGAUUUGAAGAGUGUUAUGACUUGAUUUGAAAGAAGUAUUUUCUACUCUUGAAUUGCAUGUACGAAAAUUUCGUAGACGAAAUUUCUUUUAAGGGAGGAAAGAUGUGAGACCCCGGAACUGGGCCCAGUCCAUUUGACCAGCCCAGUCCCAGGUUUCGGCCUUACGUGCGUUGCACGUGAGGCACCGGGAUGGAUCAGGAUCCAUCCCAAAGAAGGAGGAAGCCCUAUUUUUUAGGGCUUCUUCUCCUUCUCUUUGAGGCCACCCGAGUCCUCUCUUCUUCCUCGUGCAGCCGCCCAAGUGGGAGAGAGAGGGAGAGAGAGAGGGAGGGAGCCGUCGGAGCCGGA
rnacentral:lncRNA from 1 species